rnacentral:lncRNA from 1 species
AACCGAACCGAAAUAACCGAAAACCGAAGUUUCAUAUUUUUUGAAACCGAACCGAACCGUAAUUGUCUUUCAAACCGAACCGAACCGAACCGAAAUUACUUCGGUUUUUUCGGUUCGGUUCGGUUAAAACCGAACUUUAUAUAUAAAAAAAAACUUCAAACACAAAUUAAAAGAAUACAGAAAUAAAAAGCUACCCAGAUUCAGAGUUCAGAAUUAACUAAUUAAGAUUGAAGAAUCAGUACUCGGAUCAUCAGAUAUCAAAUAAGAUUCACAAUAAACAAACCCAUUAUUCAACACAAGAAUUAGAUUAAACAAACCCACUGAACUGAAGUAUAAAAGAUUCAAAUAAACAACUCGCGAACUCAACGAUAUGCGAACUGAAACUGAAGUUUGAAUCAGAUGUGAACGGUGAAGCUUGAAUCGGAGCUCUGGAGAAUGGAGUGGAAGGCUGAGGCGCAAGGCACGGCGGGUGGGAUUCAGGAGACUACGGACUAGGUUCAGGGAUUCAGGAGAGGAGGCGCAAGCAAGUUAACAU